rnacentral:tRNA from 1 species
GCUCAGUGGAUAGAGCGUCAGCCUGUGGACUGAAGGGUCCCAGGUUCGAUUCCUGG